CGAGGUGGAUAUUUAACCCUUUGCGUUCCCUACAGCCUCUCAAGCCCCGAUGGAUUUGGGCGUCCUAGUCGGCUCUAGGGCCGUGACUGGGCCGGAGACGGGUGGGGCGACCGGGAGAGCGUGCUUGUGGGGUGGGGUGGGGGGAGCGAAGACCCUCACCUCUGCGGGCUCGGUUCAGGAUUCCCAGAGUGAAAUUGAACCCUCAGGCUAGGUUAAAGUGUUGAGGCUGCUGUGACUCCAGUCGUGGAUGCGUGAC
rnacentral:lncRNA from 1 species